rnacentral:lncRNA from 1 species
AAUUAGAAGAAGAUAGCUGCUAACUGAGUGGCUGACGGUCCUGUCUCUCGAGUUGGAGGCAUCUUGACUUAGUUGCUGGGAGCCUGGCCACUUGUGUCCUUCACUAAUCAGAAACUUUUAUAUUUUAAUGGUACUUCACAAAAUCCCCUGAGAAGAAAAGAAAGAGGCAGACCCACCAAAAAAAGGAAAACCCCAAAGGUGAAAAGACAAGGACUGAAAACAAACUCGACCCUGGAUUGAGUUACAGCAUCAAAUACCCUAUUGCUGAUAUGGAAGCGCUGGGUAGAGGAGGGCGUGGUCCCUCCCUAGGGCUCCACUCCCACAGACCUAGGUGAGGACAGGCAUUUCCUGCCCAACUGUUGCAUUUCCCAAGACCACCCUGGCCUGCCAUGCCCCCAUCUUGUGCCUAUAAAAACUCCCAAGACCCUAGCAGGCAGACUAGAGGCAGCUGAGCUGGACGUCGAGAGGAACACACUGACACUGGCACACCUGCAGGCCACCGACCGGCAGAAGCAGAACGACACAAAUUUGGUAGGGACAGUUAGAGGAGAGUCCAGGCUGCUGAUCAGCCAGACUUCAGGGGAAAACCAUCUCCCUUCUGGCUCCCCCAUCUGCUGAGAGCUACUCCCAUUCAGUAAAACCUUGCACUCAUUCUCCAAGCCUCGGUGUGAUCUGAUUCUUCUGGUACAU